UACGUAGGAAGCAAGCGUUGUCCGGAAUUACUGGGCGUAAAGCGCGUGUAGGCGGAUAGGCAAGUCUGCUGUGAAAGCUCUCGGCUUAACCGGGAGAGGUCGGUGGAAACUGCCUGACUAGAGGACGGUAGAGGGGGGUGGAAUUCCCGGUGUAGUGGUGAAAUGCGUAGAGAUCGGGAGGAACACCAGUGGCGAAGGCGGCCCCCUGGGCCGCUCCUGACGCUGAGACGCGAAAGCGCGGGGAGCGAACGGG
rnacentral:rRNA from 2 species